AUUCGCCGUGAUGACCUUUUUCCUGCCAUUCGUAGUUUCCACCAGAGGUCAACAGACCAAAGACGGUCCAAACCGUCCUUGGAUGUCAGAGAAU
rnacentral:snoRNA from 1 species